rnacentral:rRNA from 1 species
UACGUAGGGAGCAAGCGUUUGUCCGGAAUCAUUGGGCGUAAAGCGCGCGUAGGCGGCCUCAUAAGUCCGUUGUGAAAGUCAAAGGCUCAACCUUUGAAAGCCGAUGGAUACUGUGAGGCUAGAGUCCGGAAGAGGCGAGUGGAAUUCCUGGUGUAGCGGUGGAAUGCGCAGAUAUCAGGAGGAACACCAAUAGCGAAGGCAGCUCGCUGGGACGGUACUGACGCUAAGGUGCGAAAGCGUGGGGAGCAAACAGG